GUCUUCUAGAGAAAAUAAUUAGAAGUCCAGCCUGCCCGGUGAGAAUUUAAACGGCCGCGGUAGCCUGACCGUGCUAAGGUAGCGUAAUCAUUUGCCCUUUAAUUGGGGGCUAGUAUGAAUGGCUAGACAAGAGUCCAGCUGUCUCAAAAAACCAAUGUAAAAUUAACCUUUAGGUGCAGAGGCCUAAAUUAAAGUAAAAGACAAGAAGACCCUAUCGAGCUUUAGUUUUAGAAGCAUCUAAAUUCUACUUCUAAAACUUUUAUUGGGGCAAUAUAGGAGCAAAGAAAGCCUCCUAAAACCCUAAAGAAAAACCUUUUUUAAAAUGAAACGUUAAAACUAUUUAAGACAUCAGCUACCGUAGGGAUAACAGACUAAUCUCCCUUGAGAGUUCACAUUGACAGGGAGGCUUGGCACCUCGAUGUUGGCUUAAGGUAACCAUUCAUUGAAGCAGUCCUCUAAUAUGGUAGGUUUGUUCAACCUUUAAUACCUUA
rnacentral:rRNA from 1 species